rnacentral:rRNA from 1 species
GUGAGGAAUAUUGGGCAAUGGGCGCAAGCCUGACCCAGCAACGCCGCGUGAAGGAAGACGGUCUUCGGAUUGUAAACUUCUUUUGUCAGGGACGAAUAAUGACGGUACCUGGCGAAUAAGCCACGGCUAACUACGUGCCAGCAGCCGCGGUAAUACGUAGGUGGCAAGCGUUGUCCGGAUUUACUGGGUGUAAAGGGCGAGUAGGCGGAUUUGCAAGUCAGGUGUGAAAGCCCGGGGCUUAACCCCGGGUCUGCAUUUGAAACUGCGGAUCUUGAGUAUCGGAGAGGCAGGCGGAAUUCCCGGUGUAGCGGUGGAAUGCGUAGAUAUCGGGAGGAACACCAGUGGCGAAGGCGGCCUGCUGGACGACAACUGACGCUGAGGAGCGAAAGCGUGGGGAGCAAACAGGAUUAGAACCCCUGUAGUCC